AAGCAGAGAAAAAAGGGUUCCAUUAUGUAACUUACAAAUUACAGUUUAGAGAAGCCAUGCAUGGAGAGAGUAGACCUAAAGGCAAAUUCUUUUUUUUUUUUUAUAACUCAUAUGAUCAUUAAUUCAAGAUAGUAGUGCUAACCUUGUCACAUUCAAGAAUCCAGAAAAAAAGGAAAAGAAGGAAACAAGUCAAUUUCCCAUUCAAGUGAAAGAGGAUAAAAAUCAAAUCAGAACCACAAAGGAAGUUAACAUUUUUGAAAUACCCAUUAAUUAGGGAAAGAAGCCCCC